AGAGUUUGAUCCUGGCUCAGGAUGAACGCUAGCGGCAGGCCUAAUACAUGCAAGUCGAACGGUUGGUAGCAAUACCAAUAGUGGCGCACGGGUGCGUAACGCGUAACCAACCUACCCGAAUCUGGGGGAUAGCCCGCCGAAAGGCGGAUUAAUACCGCAUAAAACUGCAGCCUGGCAUCAGGUAACAGUUAAAGAUUUAUUGGAUUCGGAUGGGGUUGCGUGCCAUUAGCUAGUUGGCGGGGUAACGGCCCACCAAGGCGACGAUGGCUAGGGGAGCUGAGAGGCUGGUCCCCCACACGGGCACUGAGAUACGGGCCCGACUCCUACGGGAGGCAGCAGUAGGGAAUAUUGGGCAAUGGUCGAGAGACUGACCCAGCCAUGCCGCGUGCAGGAUGAAGGCUUUCUGAGUCGUAAACUGCUUUUACCAGGGAAGAAAAAAGGGGAUGCGUCCUCUACUGACGGUACUGGUGAAUAAGCACCGGCUAACUCCGUGCCAGCAGCCGCGGUAAUACNGAGGGUGCAAGCGUUGUCCGGAUUUAUUGGGGUUUAAANGGUUGCGUAAGCCGGCCGAUUNAGUCUUAAGUGAAAAGCCCGUUUGCUCAACAACGGAACUGNCCUGGAAAAUGGUUGGCUUGAAUACANACCAAGGUUGGCGGAAUUGGAUUGUGUUACCGG
rnacentral:rRNA from 1 species